UCUCUCCCUUUUCUCUCUUUAUAUUUCUUGUUCUUGUUUUGUUUCUCUUCACAUACAUAAACGAUUUGAUCUUUAAGAAAAAAGAGAGAUUUUCUUUAAUGGUCUACAUUUUACUAAACUUGGAUACUCUUCUUACAAAACACACACACAUACAUAUAGUGGAGUGGUUUUUCUCCACUAGACCAUACUUUAAGACUUAUGACAACCACUCUAUUAUGUUGGAAUUCCAACUCCUUAAUUCACUCUUACACGACACCUUAGACUAAUACAACAUAACACUUUCCUUUGUUGACUUUACUUUUUCCAUUUUGUUGUUUUGUUUAACAACUUCUUCUUCUUCCUUCGAUGCUUCUUCCUCUGUUCUUCAUCUUCUUUUUCUCAUGGAUUCUUCUUUUCUCUUUUGUAGGUUCAAUCAAGGAUACAAUUCCAACAAACAACCUCCGGAUCUCCGACGGCGUCUUCUUCCCACACAAACGACGGCGGUCUCAACAAACGUCGAGAUGGUGUUGAUGGGAUAUGCUCUCAUUUUUUUAAUUUGAUUGAAUGUGGUCUUGAUUGUUUUAAAAAGUAGUGAAUUUGCUUUACAUUUUGAUUUGAAUCAUCAAGAUCCACCUUUGUGUUGAUUUGAUUUGUUAAUUACAGACAAAUUUGUGUCUAUGAUGUGGCUCUGUUUGUGGUUUACCAUUGGGGUUUCGGCACUAUGAAGCUAAAUUUUUUUUUUUA